rnacentral:rRNA from 1 species
AUUGAACGCUAGCGGGAUGCCUUACACAUGCAAGUAGAACGGAGUGGCGAACGGGUGAGUAAUGUAUCGGAACGUGCCCAGUAGCGGGGGAUCACUAAGCGAAAGCGUAGCUAAUACCGCAUACUAUUAGAGCGGCCGAUAUCGGAUUAGCUAGUUGGUGGGGUAACGGCUCUCCAAGGCGACGAUCCGUAGCUGGUUUGAGAGGACGACCAGCCACACGUGGACAGAGACACGGGCCAGACUCCUACGUGAGGCAGCAGUGGGGAAUUUUGGACAAUGGGGGAAACGCUGAUCCAGCCAACCCGCGUGUGAGAUGAAGGCCUUCGGGUUGUAAAGCACUUUUGGCAGGAAAGCGGUACCUGCAGAAUAAGCACCGGCGAAAUACGUGCCAGCAGCCGCGGUAAUA